rnacentral:rRNA from 1 species
CAGUAGCCGCGGGAAUACGUAGGGUGCAAGCGUUAAUCGGAAUUACUGGGCGUAAAGCGUGCGCAGGCGGUGUUGUAAGACUGAUGUGAAAUCCCCGGGCUCAACCUGGGAACUGCAUUGGUGACUGCAACGCUGGAGUGCGGCAGAGGGGGGUGGAAUUCCACGUGUAGCAGUGAAAUGCGUAGAUAUGUGGAGGAACACCGAUGGCGAAGGCAGCCCCCUGGGAUAACACUGACGCUCAUGCACGAAAGCGUGGGGAGCAAACAGGAUUAGAUACCCCAGUAGUCCCUGUCUCUUAUAA